rnacentral:rRNA from 1 species
ACGAACGCUGGCGGCGUGCCUAACACAUGCAAGUCGAGCGGAGGGGAAAGGAGCUUGCUUCUUGAACCUCAGCGGCGGACGGGUGAGUAACACGUGGGUAACCUGCCCUUGAGAGGGGGAUAACAGGUCGAGAGGCCUGCUAAUACCGCAUAACGCUAAGAAGCUGCAUGGCGUCUUAGCCAAAGGUUGAUUCCGCUCAAGGAUGGGCCCGCGGCCCCAUUAGCUAGUUGGUGAGGUAAUGGCUCACCAAGGCGACGAUGGGUAGCCGGCCUGAGAGGGUGGUCGGCCACACUGGGACUGAGACACGGCCCAGACUCCUACGGGAGGCAGCAGUGGGGAAUAUUGCGCAAUGGGGGAAACCCUGACGCAGCGACGCCGCGUGAGCGAUGAAGGCAUUCGGGUUGUAAAGCUCUGUCUUCCCUGACGAUAAUGACGGUAAGGGAGGAGGAAGCCACGGCUAACUACGUGCCAGCAGCCGCGGUAAUACGUAGGUGGCGAGCGUUGUCCGGAAUUACUGGGCGUAAAGGGUGCGUAGGCGGCUCUUUAAGUGGGAUGUGAAAUCCCUGGGCUCAACCCAGGAACUGCAUUCCAAACUGGAGAGCUAGAGUGCAGGAGAGGAAAGCGGAAUUCCCAGUGUAGCGGUGAAAUGCGUAGAGAUUGGGAGGAACUACCUAGUGGCGAAGGCGGCUUUCUGGACUGUAACUGACGCU